rnacentral:lncRNA from 10 species
CACAUGGCAGAGCCGGUGCGCUGGCUGUAUGGAGUGAGGACUAAUGGGGAAUCAAGGACGUCCAGCUGUGGAUGGCAGAAGGGCCACUGUCUGAAGUGGGAAGUCUGGACAUUCCCAAAGGAGUCUUUGAAAGACUGGGUCUUCUCCUGAGCCUGAGAGCAGUGCUUCUUCCAAUGGCACUGCUUCCAUUUUAAGCAUCAGCAUGGCCCGGGAGCUUGUUGGAAUGAAGAAUCUCCAGCUCCACCCGAAACCUGCUGAAUCAGAACCAGCAUUUAACACGUCACCAGGAUCCCAGGUCACUUGGCUGUCCUUGGCUCAACUGUGAGUAAGGAGGAGUCCUGCGGAAUGAAAAAUGACUACCCAGAUUUGCCACCAAAAUCCAGCAGGAGUGCCUUAGAAAGCAGGGUAACAUACUCACAGGAUCUGUGGAUCAGGACGUGAACAUCUCUGGAAGCCAUUAUCUACCCCACACCAUCUCUCUAGCACUUAGUACACGGCCUGUACAGAGCAGAUGCUCGGCAAGGAUCUGGAGAAAGAAAGAAUGAAUGAAUAAAUAAACAAAGAAAUCAGG